GACGAACGCUGGCGGCGUGCCUAACACAUGCAAGUCGAACGGAGAGUUAGCAAUAACUCUUAGCGGCGAACGGGUGAGUAACGCGUAGACAACCUACCUUCUAGAUGGGGACAACACCGCGAAAGUGGUGCUAAUACCGAAUGUGCUCGCGAGUAUGCAUAUACAUGCGAGGAAAGGUGGCCUCUGAACAUGCUACCGCUAGAAGAUGGGUCUGCGUCUGAUUAGCUAGUUGGCGGGGUAAAGGCCCACCAAGGCGACGAUCAGUAGCCGGUCUGAGAGGAUGAACGGCCACACUGGGACUGAGACACGGCCCAGACUCCUACGGGAGGCAGCAGUGGGGAAUCUUCCGCAAUGGACGAAAGUCUGACGGAGCAACGCCGCGUGAGUGAAGAAGGCCUUCGGGUUGUAAAGCUCUGUUAUUAGGGAAGAACGUACCAUAUGUAAAUAAUGUAUGGUAGUGACGGUACCUAAGGAGGAAGCCACGGCUAACUACGUGCCAGCAGCCGCGGUAA
rnacentral:rRNA from 1 species